rnacentral:rRNA from 1 species
GNNUUGCGCAUGGCACGAANUCUGNGCAGCGACGCCGCGUGGGGGAUGAAGGUCUUCGGAUUGUAAACCCCUUUCGGCAGGGAAGAUGGAACGGGUAACCGUUCGGACGGUACCUGCAGAAGCAGCCACGGCUAACUUCGUGCCAGCAGCCGCGGUAAUACGAAGGUGGCAAGCGUUGUUCGGAUUCACNUGGGCGUACAGGGAGCGUAGGCGGUUGGGUAAGCCCUCCGUGAAAUCUCCGGGCCUGACCCGGAAAGUGCAGAGGGGACUGCUCGGCUAGAGGAUGGGAGAGGAGCGCGGAAUUCCCGGUGUAGCGGUGAAAUGCGUAGAGAUCGGGAGGAAGGCCGGUGGCGAAGGCGGCGCUCUGGAACAUUUCUGACGCUGAGGCUCGAAAGCGUGGGGAGCAAACAGGAUUAGAUACCCUGGUAGUCCACGCCUUAAACUAUGGAUACUAAGUGUCGGCGGGUUACCGCCGGUGCCGCAGCUAACGCAGUAAGUAUCCCGCCUGGGAAGUACGGCCGCAGGGUUGAAACUCAAAGGAAUUGACGGA